CCAGACUCCUACGGGAGGCAGCAGUGAGGAAUAUUGGUCAAUGGACGCAAGUCUGAACCAGCCAUGCCGCGUGCAGGAUGACGGCUCUAUGAGUUGUAAACUGCUUUUGUACGAGGGUAAACCCCGAUACGUGUAUCGGGUUGAAAGUAUCGUACGAAUAAGGAUCGGCUAACUCCGUGCCAGCAGCCGCGGUAAUACGGAGGAUCCGAGCGUUAUCCGGAUUUAUUGGGUUUAAAGGGUGCGUAGGCGGUUUGAUAAGUUAGAGGUGAAAUGUCGGGGCUCAACCCCGAAACUGCCUCUAAUACUGUUGGACUAGAGAAUAGUUGCGGUAGGCGGAAUGUAUGGUGUAGCGGUGAAAUGCUUAGAGAUCAUACAGAACACCGAUUGCGAAGGCAGCUUACCAAACUAUAUCUGACGUUGAGGCACGAAAGCGUGGGUAGCAAACAGGAUUAGAUACCCCAGUA
rnacentral:rRNA from 1 species